rnacentral:rRNA from 1 species
GAUGAACGCUGGCGGCGUGCCUAAUACAUGCAAGUCGAGCGAACAGACGAGGAGCUUGCUCCUCUGACGUUAGCGGCGGACGGGUGAGUAACACGUGGAUAACCUACCUAUAAGACUGGGAUAACUUCGGGAAACCGGAGCUAAUACCGGAUAAUAUAUUGAACCGCAUGGUUCAAUAGUGAAAGACGGUUUUGCUGUCACUUAUAGAUUGAUCCGCGCCGCAUUAGCUAGUUGGUAAGGUAACGGCUUACCAAGGCAACGAUGCGUAGCCGACCUGAGCGGGUGAUCGGCCACCCUGGAACUGAGACACGGUCCAGACUCCUACGGGAGGCAGCAGUAGGGAAUCUUACGCAAUGGGCGAAAGCCUGACGGAGCAACGCCGCGUGAGUGAUGAAGGUCUUCGGAUCGUAAAACUCUGUUAUUAGGGAAGAACAAAUGUGUAAGUAACUAUGCACGUCUUGACGGUACCUAAUCAGAAAGCCACGGCUAACUACGUG